AAGUCAUUAAUAAAAUCCCUAAAAUUUCUAAGCUUUUAAUCGAUUGGCUCGUCGCGUCUUCCACAAAAUCGGUCGUCACACAGCCCAGUGCUUCAUCGCUGGUUCGUGUCUGCAGCUUCUUAUCUUCCUGGCUUCUGGAUUUGCGUUGCAAUUCCCAAGUUGCAGAAUGACAAAGUGCAGUAGGCUUAUCUUCUUCUACUUUCGAACUGCUUCUGUUGCAUUGUGGUUCGUUCUUCAGAGAGUCUAGAAGUUGCGUGAAGAUUGUGAAUCUGGAGCUGAAUAGCGAAUUGAAACGGAAUGGAUUUCGUGCGUUCUCGUAGAGCCAAAAGUGAAGCAGAUUGAAGAAUGCAGAGAACUUGAGGAUUGAAGAUUGAAGCGAAUUUGAGGAUUGAAAAUUGAAGAGAAUUUGAGGAUUGAGGAUUGAAGUUUUUGCAGAUUUUUUCUCCCCCUUUCUGAACUGCAAUGAGGUUGUAUGUUAACUUGCAACAUUCAUUCUGUUGCGAUAAUUAUGCAGGAUGCACUUCCUUGGUCUUGAACUGAAUUGAAGUGGAUUUGCUUGUGAUCUUGUGCAAGGCUUGAAUCGUGUUGGACAUGUUGGUCAUGUUGAGUUGGAGGCAAAGCUAUGAAAGGUAGAUUGGAUUGCUAUGGAAUUUAGUCAUGUUGUAGUUUGGUUGAUUGAAUGUAUUAGAAUGUAUGUAUGUGGUUGUAAUUGGAUGUACUUGAGAUAAUUUGAAUUGAAAUUGUGUUGAUGAUGAUGGGAAUGUAAAUUGUAUUAAAUGAAUAUAUGAAAUAUGUAUGGAAUUUGUAUAAACAUGGUUGUAAUGGUUGAAUAUGUACUUGGAAUUGAAUGAUGGUCUAAUGUAAAAGUUUGGAAGUUGGCUAAAAAAAUGGUUGUAAUGUAAUAUGAUUCAAUGUAUGUAUGGUUAUUGAUGGUUAAAUGUAUGAAAUUGAAUGUUAGAAUA